rnacentral:rRNA from 1 species
GACGAACGUUGGCGGCGUGCUUAACACAUGCAAGUCGAACGGAAAGGCCCUGCUUUUGUGGGGUGCUCGAGUGGCGAACGGGUGAGUAACACGUGAGUAACCUGCCCUUGACUUUGGGAUAACUUCAGGAAACUGGGGCUAAUACCGGAUAGGAGCUCCUGCUGCAUGGUGGGGGUUGGAAAGUUUCGGCGGUUGGGGAUGGACUCGCGGCUUAUCAGCUUGUUGGUGGGGUAGUGGCUUACCAAGGCUUUGACGGGUAGCCGGCCUGAGAGGGUGACCGGCCACAUUGGGACUGAGAUGCGGCCCAGACUCCUACGGGAGGCAGCAGUGGGGAAUAUUGCACAAUGGGCGGAAGCCUGAUGCAGCAACGCCGCGUGCGGGAUGACGGCCUUCGGGUUGUAAACCGCUUUCGCCUGUGACGAAGCGUGAGUGACGGUAAUGGGUAAAGAAGCACCGGCUAACUACGUG